rnacentral:rRNA from 1 species
UACGGAGGGUGCAAGCGUUACUCGGAGUUAUUGGGCGUAAAGCGCUCGUAGGUGGUUUGGUAAGUUUGAUGUGAAAGCCCAGGGCUCAACCCUGGAAGUGCAUUGAAUACUGCCAGGCUGGAGUAUAGGAGAGGUAAGCGGAAUUCCUGGUGUAGAGGUGAAAUUCGUAGAUAUCAGGAGGAACAACGGUGGCGAAAGCGGCUUACUGGACUAUAACUGACACUGAGGAGCGAAAGCGUGGGGAGCAAACAGG